rnacentral:lncRNA from 1 species
AGUGUUUAAACAUGAGCCGAUGUGUCAUUUCUGCUUAUUGGUUUUAUAUAUAAACAGUUUUCAGACAAGGAUCAGCAGCUUUCUGGAAGUGAGGGAGAAGAUGAUAUGGAGGCUGCCUUGAAGAAGGAAGUUGGUGACAUUAAGGCUUCUACAGAGAAGAGACUAAGAAGAUUCCAGUCAGUGGAGAGUGGAGCAAAUAAUGUGGUCUUCAUCAGGACCCUUGGGAUAGAACCUGACAAACUGGUGCAUCAUAUUCUCCAGGAUGUGUAUAAAACUAAGAAAAAGAAGACUCGAGUUAUUUUAUGAAUGUUACCCAUCUCAGGCACAUGCAAAGCUUUCUUAGAAGAUAUGAAAAAAUACGCAGAAACAUUUUUGGAACCCUGGUUUAAAGCACCAAACAAAGGGACAUUUCAGAUUGUGUAUAAGUCUCGAAAUAA